AGGGUCCACUAUAUUUAUUAAAUAAAAUAAUAAUAUAAAAGUACGUAGAGCCCACUAUAUUUAUUGAAUAUAAAAAAUAAAUAAAUAAGGAGAAGGGUCCACACCUUUAUUAAAUACUCUAUUCUCUCCCCGUCUUCCUUCUUCCUCACAAAUUUCUUUUCUCUUCUUUCACUUUUCUACCUUUGUUUUGUAGGUGAUGAUAGUCGUCGUGGAUCUUCGCUGGAAUUUGCAAUAAUAUGUCGGAAUGGAGGUCCGCUAGUCGUCGGAGUCGCUGUUCAUCGGAUUGGUGGUGCCCUCCAUGCAGCCUAUUGAUUUUGCAUGAUUUCUACCUAUAUAUAAUAGCUCCAUGCAUGAAGAUCAGUAAGGAUUCUGAGUUUUACUUACUGAACUUGAGCAUAGUAGAGAAGAUCUCGGUGGUAGUCCUCUUGAAGAUUCAAGCUCUAUCUUGGUGAAUUUCAGCUGAAUUCGUGGAAGAAAUCUUCAAAGCGCUUGCUCUUCGAUCGUCUAGACGGUCACGCUUCAUCGCAUAGUUGUCGUCUACUUGAUCGUUUAGGUUUGUGUUUAAAUAUGGUGCACUGCACGAUCGAGUGGCCUUCAUGCUUCAUUGCAUAGUCAAAGGUACUUGAUCGUUGCUAUACGAUUGUGGUUACUCAACCAACUUUACUAGACGAUCACAAGAAAAAGCUAUACGAUCAGGAAGCGAGGCUUCGCCUAGGCGGUUUAAGACCCAGUUUGCCUGUUUGAACCGGUUUACUCGAUGGUCUAUGUAAUAGAUAGUUUUCCUUUCCAUUUUUUUAGGCUAAUCAUCCCAGUCCAUUAAUUUUGGUGAAUGUACAUGAUAGUAUGUUUUAAUUAUAUGUCAUAUAGUAUGCCAUAUAGUUUUAAAUCCCACCAUAGAUUAUGCAUUUGUCAUGCAUCAUCUCUACAUUGUAAGAGUUAUGAUAUAGUAGCUUGCAUGAUUAUAUUAC